rnacentral:rRNA from 1 species
UGGGGAAUAUUGGACAAUGGGCGAAAGCCUGAUCCAGCAAUGCCGCGUGUGUGAAGAAGGCCUUCGGGUUGUAAAGCACUUUAGGCAGGGAAGAAAAAAUCGGCGUGAAUAUCGCCGGUCUUGACGGUACCUGAAGAAUAAGCACCGGCUAACUCUGUGCCAGCAGCCGCGGUAAUACAGAGGGUGCUAGCGUUAAUCGGAUUUACUGGGCGUAAAGCGUGUGUAGGUGGUUAAACAAGUCGGUUGUGAAAUCCCCGGGCUCAACCUGGGAAUUGCUUCCGAUACUGUUUGACUCGAAUUCGGUAGAGGGUGGCGGAACUCCAGGUGUAGCGGUGAAAUGCGUAGAUAUCUGGAAGAACAUCAAUGGCGAAGGCAGCCACCUGGGCCUGAAUUGACACUG